GACGAACGCUGGCGGCGUGCCUAAUGCAUGCAAGUCGAACGCACUGCCUUCGGGCAGUGAGUGGCGCACGGCUGAGGAACACGUGGGAAUCUGCCCGACCGUGGGGGAUAACACGCCGAAAGGCGUGCUAAGCCCGCAUACGCUCGCAAGAGGAAAGCGGUAACGCGCGGUCGGAGGAGCCUGCGGCCCAUCAGGUAGUCGGCGGGGUAACGGCCCACCGAGCCGGUGACGGGUAGCUGGUCUGUGAGGACAGACAGCCAGACUGGGACUGAGACACGGCCCAGACUCCUACGGGAGGCAGCAGCAAGGAAUUUUCGGCAAUGGGCGCAAGCCUGACCGAGCAACGCCGCGUGGAGGAUGAAGGUUUUUGGAUUGUAAACUCCUUUUGUGGGGGAAGAGUGAGGACGGUACCCCAAGAAUAAGUCACGGCUAACUACGUG
rnacentral:rRNA from 1 species